UGUAAAGGAGAAGGAUGGGGAUGCGUCUGAUUAGCUUGUUGGCGGGGUAACGGCCCACCAAGGCUACGAUCAGUAGGGGUUCUGAGAGGAAGGUCCCCCACAUUGGAACUGAGACACGGUCCAAACUCCUACGGGAGGCAGCAGUCAGGAAUAUUGGUCAAUGGACGGGAGUCUGAACCAGCCAAGUAGCGUGCAGGAUGACGGCCCUAUGGGUUGUAAACUGCUUUUAUAGGGGGAUAAAGUGUGCCACGUGUGGCAUAUUGCAGGUACCCUAUGAAUAAGGACCGGCUAAUUCCGUGCCAGCAGCCGCGGUAAUACGGAAGGUCCGGGCGUUAUCCGGAUUUAUUGGGUUUAAAGGGAGCGUAGGCCGUCUUAUAAGCGUGUUGUGAAAUGUCGGGGCUCAACCUGGGCAUUGCAGCGCGAACUGUGAGACUUGAGUGCGCAGGAAGUAGGCGGAAUUCGUCGUGUAGCGGUGAAAUGCUUAGAUAUGACGAAGAACUCCGAUUGCGAAGGCAGCCUGCUGUAGCGCAACUGACGCUGAAGCUCGAAAGCGUGGGUAUCGAACAGGAUUAGAUACCCUGGUAGUCCACGCGGUAAACGAUGGAUGCUCGCUGUUUGCGUCUGACGUAAGCGGCCAAGCGAAAGCGUUAAGCAUCCCACCUGGGGAGUACGCCGGCAACGGUGAAACUCAAAGGAAUUGACGGGGGCCCGCACAAGCGGAGGAACAUGUGGUUUAAUUCGAUGAUACGCGAGGAACCUUACCCGGGCUUGAACUGCAGGCGAACGAUUCAGAGAUGAUGAGGCCCUUCGGGGCGCCUGUGGAGGUGCUGCAUGGUUGUCGUCAGCUCGUGCCGUGAGGUGUCGGCUUAAGUGCCAUAACGAGCGCAACCCUUGUUCGUAGUUGCCAUCGGGUUAUGCCGGGCACUCUGCGAAGACUGCCUCCGUAAGGAGUGAGGAAGGUGGGGAUGACGUCAAAUCAGCACGGCCCUUACGUCCGGGGCUACACACGUGUUACAAUGGCAUGUACAGAAAGCUGGGUGUAUGCAAAUUCGCUCGAAUCCCUAAAACAUGUCUCAGUUCGGACUGGGGUCUGCAACCCGACCCCACGAAGCUGGAUUCGCUAGUAAUCGCGCAUCAGCCAUGGCGCGGUGAAUACGUUCCCGGGCCUUGUACACACCGCCCGUCAAGCCAUGAAAGCCGG
rnacentral:rRNA from 1 species